AGAAGAAGCACCGGCUAACUUCGUGCCAGCAGCCGCGGUAAUACGAGGGGGGCAAGCGUUGUUCGGAAUUAUUGGGCGUAAAGGGUGCGUAGGUGGUUCGGCAAGUCUUGUGUGAAAUCUUCAGGCUCAACUUGAAGUCUGCACAAGAAACUGCCGGGCUUGAGUAUGGGAGAGGUGAGUGGAAUUUCCGGUGUAGCGGUGAAAUGCGUAGAUAUCGGAAGGAACACCUGUGGCGAAAGCGGCUCACUGGACCAUUACUGACACUGAGGCACGAAAGCUAGGGGAGCAAACAGGAUUAGAUACCCUGGUAGUCCUAGCCCUAAACGAUGAUCGCUUGGUGUGGCGGGUAUCCAACCCUGCCGUGCCGAAGCUAACGCGUUAAGCGAUCCGCCUGGGGAGUACGGUCGCAAGGCUG
rnacentral:rRNA from 1 species